CCUACGGGUGGCAGCAGUGAGGAAUAUUGGUCAAUGGGCGGGAGCCUGAACCAGCCAAGUAGCGUGAAGGAUGACGGCCCUACGGGUUGUAAACUGCUUUUAUAAAGGAAUAAAGUGAGGUACGUGUGCGGUUUUGCAUGUACCGUAUGAAUAAGGACCGGCUAACUCCGUGCCAGCAGCCGCGGUAAUACGGAGGUUCCGAGCGUUAUCCGGAUUUAGUGGGUUUAAAGGGAGCGUAGGGGGGUUGUUAAGUCAGUUGUGAAAGCUCGCGGCUCAACCGUAAACUUGCAGUUGAUACUGGCAUCCUUGAGUACAGUUGAGGUAGGCGGAAUUCGUGGUGUAGCGGUGA
rnacentral:rRNA from 1 species